rnacentral:sRNA from 1 species
UUGAUUAAAACUGGACAUGGCUAGCAUUUUUCAAAGAUGCAGCAGCCACUGUUUACCUUAGCUUGAGUCAGAUGGAAGCUAAGUCACCUUUGAAAUAAAUUAUUGACAGCUUCAUUACAGAUUGCCCUAAAAUUUAAAAAUUUUUAUAGAAAGGAUUCACCUUCCUAAGUGAGCCAGCCUGUAACACCAGGCAAGGGUUUUAAACCAGAACUUCUCUUUUCUGCUUUCUUUUUGGAAAGAGGAAGCAACAUUCCCAGUUUGCCUUCUUUGCAGACAAGGGCACAGAUAUGUUAAAUUUAGCCUGUGAGAGGGUUUACAGGGGUAUUCCUCAUGGGAGCCUAGAUACCUUAUUUUUAUCUCAUCCAACUGCCUCCUUUUUUCUUUUUCUUCACUGCGGUAUUGCAACAAAAGCUAUUUCCUUCUUAACUAGGAAUUCCCUAUGAGACAGUGACAUCUGUCCCUAAAGGGUGGUCUGGGUGGUACAGGGUUUUUCCUCCCUGAUCUUGCGUUUUGUUAGGGCUCGGCUGAGCUAUUAAAUUUGCCUUAACUCUCUGUGGGCUGCCAUACCGAUUAAAUUUUUAAGAGUAAGAUAAUACUGAUUUGACCUUCAGAAAUACAGAGGUUGGAUGCGGAUUUUCUAACUCAAACCUAUUUUUCUUACAUUUAGUGCCAGGGAACAAAACAAAAACAAAACAUAAACACCAUUAACAUUGGUUGAACUAAGCUAAUCAAUUACCAAACUGUAGACUGCUGCCCUUCGGCCUUCAAGGAGGAAUUCCUCCUGUUGAUGACGAUGGGGUUUGGGUUUUUUUGUCUGUGGUGGUGGUGGGUGGGCUUUUGUUCUUUGAAAUUUUUUUUGCUGCAUCACAGUCCAGACAUAGUUUAAUGACAAUUUAUGGGGAACAAUUAUUUAUAAAUAAAACCAUUUUAUAGGUAGUUUCCUUCCACUGCAAGAAGUGAGGUCAUUAGUUUUGCAGGAAAUCCUGGGCAGAAAUCUCCCCCGUUUAUGCCUUUGUGCCUUAAGUUACAACAUUGGGAAGAUUCUGACCUGGGAGAAUUAGGAGCCUUAUGUGCUGCCAUAUUCUCCAAAGAAUUGUGAGAUAAAUCACUGCUUUAGCUCCCUAAUGCAUGUACGUUUAGCGAAAGCACAAGAAAACAAUUACCCAUCCCUCCUGUCUCCGACCAGAGUCUCCAGAGAGCUCUGUUAAUACUGCAGCAAAGGUGUGGGAUUCUUCCCCCAUGGCCUGCAGUCUCAGUGGAUGUUCCAAUUUAGCCAGAAAGGCGACCUAAGAAUUGACGGGAGGAUGGAUGGCGCGCGAAUUGUUGCUUUUGCUCUUGGCUGAUUGUUUAGGAAUGUAGAAGAGACUGUGUGGGGUUUGUGUGAAAUUGCGGUGCCUUGCAGAUUAGGUGAGCUUUCAAUCUCUCUUUAAAAGGGGCGGCGAAGAGGACCCGCAGGCUGCAAGGAGCAACAGCGAUGGUGAGAAGGCAACCAAAGUGCAGGACAUCAAAAACAACCUGAAAGAGGCGAUUGAAACCAUUGUGGCCGCCAUGAGCAACCUGGUGCCCCCCGUGGAGCUGGCCAACCCCGAGAACCAGUUCAGAGUGGACUACAUUCUGAGUGUGAUGAACGUGCCUGACUUUGACUUCCCUCCCGAAUUCUAUGAGCACGCCAAGGCUCUGUGGGAGGAUGAAGGAGUGCGUGCCUGCUACGAACGCUCCAACGAGUACCAGCUGAUUGACUGUGCCCAGUACUUCCUGGACAAGAUCGAUGUGAUCAAGCAGGCUGACUAUGUGCCGAGCGAUCAGGACCUGCUUCGCUGCCGCGUCCUGACUUCUGGAAUCUUUGAGACCAAGUUCCAGGUGGACAAAGUCAACUUCCACAUGUUUGACGUGGGUGGCCAGCGCGACGAACGCCGCAAGUGGAUCCAGUGCUUCAACGAUGUGACUGCCAUCAUCUUCGUGGUGGCCAGCAGCAGCUACAACAUGGUCAUCCGGGAGGACAACCAGACCAACCGCCUGCAGGAGGCUCUGAACCUCUUCAAGAGCAUCUGGAACAACAGAUGGCUGCGCACCAUCUCUGUGAUUCUGUUCCUCAACAAGCAAGAUCUGCUCGCUGAGAAAGUCCUUGCUGGGAAAUCGAAGAUUGAGGACUACUUUCCAGAAUUUGCUCGCUACACUACUCCUGAGGAUGCUACUCCCGAGCCCGGAGAGGACCCACGCGUGACCCGGGCCAAGUACUUCAUUCGAGAUGAGUUUCUGAGGAUCAGCACUGCCAGUGGAGAUGGGCGUCACUACUGCUACCCUCAUUUCACCUGCGCUGUGGACACUGAGAACAUCCGCCGUGUGUUCAACGACUGCCGUGACAUCAUUCAGCGCAUGCACCUUCGUCAGUAUGAGCUGCUCUAAGAAGGGAACCCCCAAAUUUAAUUAAAGCCUUAAGCACAAUUAAUUAAAAGUGAAACGUAAUUGUACAAGCAGUUAAUCACCCACCAUAGGGCAUGAUUAACAAAGCAACCUUUCCCUUCCCCCGAGUGAUUUUGCGAAACCCCCUUUUCCCUUCAGCUUGCUUAGAUGUUCCAAAUUUAGAAAGCUUAAGGCGGCCUACAGAAAAAGGAAAAAAGGCCACAAAAGUUCCCUCUCACUUUCAGUAAAAAUAAAUAAAAUAACAGCAGCAAACAAACAGAAAUAAAAUGAAAUAAAAGAAACAAAUGAAAUAAAUAUUGUGUUGUGCAGCAUUAAAAAAAAUCAAAAUAAAAAUUAAAUGUGAGCAAAGAA